rnacentral:rRNA from 1 species
CCUACGGGUGGCAGCAGUGAGGUAUAUUGGUCAAUGGACGCAAGUCUGAACCAGCCAUGCCGCGUGCAGGACGACGGCUCUAUGAGUUGUAAACUGCUUUUGUACGAGGGUAAACUCAGAUACGCGUAUCUGUCUGAAAGUAUCUUACGAAUAAGGAUCGGCUAACUCCGUGCCAGCAGCCGCGGUAAUACGGAGGAUUCAAGCGUUAUCCGGAUUUAUUGGGUUUAAAGGGUGCGUAGGCGGUCGGAUAAGUUAGAUGUGAAAUCCCGAGGCUCAACUUCGGAAUUGCCUCUGAUACUGGUAGGCUAGAGAGUAGUUGCGGUAGGCGGAAUGUAUGGUGUAGCGGUGAAAUGCUUAGAGAUCAUACAGAACACCGAUUGCGAAGGCAGCUUACCAAGCUACUUCUGACGUUGAGGCACGAAAGCGUGGGGAGCAAACAGGAUUAGAUACCCGUGUAGUC